rnacentral:snoRNA from 14 species
AGCGCAACAACCCUUGGGCCGGUGGCGCACUGUCGGUGCCGCGCGUGGCGCCCCCUGUCGGUUGCGCGAGAGUU